UAUUGUAGAGUUUCAAUGUCCUAGUGGUCUCACGGUCUCACCUCCUUCAUGCCUGUGAGUCCAGCUUUGGAAGAUCCAGCUUUCCAACAAAGUGAGAUUACCUGAAGAUAAAAAUAUUUAAAUCAUUCAGUGAACAGAAUUUUGGUAUACUUGCAGUUGCAGUAGAUGGAAUGAGACUAGCCAAAAUAUGAUUCCAGUGGGUUUCAUUCAUCCUUCAGGCAGUCUCACCAUAGUGGCGAAAACCAAGCAAAACCAUGUAAAAUGCAUAUACUGUACAUUGAGUACUGAUUCCUCUAGUAAGGAUCACACAAGCAUACCCUUAGACCUUCAUACAACCUUUCUUGAUAAAAUAGCAAAGCAACAAAAGCUCCAGUCAAUUAAGAUUUAAGACGGAAAUUAUGAACUCCAAAGUUAUAGUAAUGCCUACUAAUAGAAAUGGACAAAUGGUGCACAGCAAAUGACAGUAACUCAUAGCCUGUAUCAUUAUUAUUCUUAUUAUUUUAGUUUUUAAUUUUUAUCAUCAUUACUACUAGUAGAACUACUAUUCUAUUGUUUUUUUUUUCCUUUCCUCGGAAGAAAACCUCUACAUUAUGAAGGUCUCUCAAAUAUGAAGAUUUCCUAUGCCUCAUUAUACUAUGCAUCUUCCAGAACAAAGGUGAUGAUAACGAUGGCUUAUUAUUUCACAUGCUCCACUCAAUACUG